AGACAAACGUCCAAAGCCGCUAUU
rnacentral:siRNA from 1 species